CACAUAAUCCAAGACAAUCAUAAGCUUCUUUUGCUGUGACAACAAAAUAAUUUUUGAAUUAGAAUGCACAUUCACGCUAGCAUGCACAAAAAGUUGGCUAGAAUUUGAGAAUAACUAAGGUGUGCAAUAUGAAUAUGUUGAAUAUAAAAGAAUAAUGUUUAGAGGCCUUCAUAUCUACAUGUUCUUCCUAUUUUCUCCAUCAAAAUGGAAGAAGAUGUAUACCAUAAGUGCAGAACAUAGAAAGAACUAUGAUGGCCACUUAUUGGUAGUGG
rnacentral:lncRNA from 1 species